UUCAACAUUAAACAGUAAAUCAUUUAUUUUACUCAAUUUUACUGAAGAAAUAUAUUUUGGCUUAUUGCCAGCAUUACCAUUAUAUUCAUCUUACCAUUUUUAAUAUCCAAAAUUCUGAAGGUUAUUGUAGUUUUGAACCGGUUCUUUGUAAUUUCGAUUAAAUUAUGGAUAAGAUACAUGUAGAACGGGAAAGGAAACAUGCCAAGACAUCUGCGGUGUCAUUUAUAAGAAUUCUGGAGGAUGUGCCGAUUUUACGUCACAGAUAGAAACAAGGAUUCAAUAGACCUAUAUAUUAACCCGGAUCCUUCUGAUGAAGCGUUUAAACCACUUGAUUAACCGGCUGGCACGAAUGUCUAGCAGUAGAUAAUAUUUAAUCAUUUAAAAAUAUUAACGGC